rnacentral:rRNA from 1 species
UCCCUAGUACUGCGAGUGAAGCGGGAGAGCUCAAAUUUUGAUCUGGCGGUCUUUGGCCGUCCGAGUUGUAAUCUAGAGAAGCGUUUUCCGCGUUGGCCCGUGUACAAGUCUCCUGGAAAGGAGCGUCAUAGAGGGUGAGAAUCCCGUCUUUGACACGGACUACCAGUGCUAUGUGAUGCGCUCUCGACGAGUCGAGUUGUUUGGGAAUGCAGCUCAAAAUGGGUGGUAAAUUCCAUCUAAAGCUAAAUACAGGCGAGAGACCGAUAGCGAACAAGUACCGUGAGGGAAAGAUGAAAAGAACUUUGGAAAGAGAGUUAAACCGUACGUGAAAUUGCUGAAAGGGAAACGCUUGAUGUCAGUCGCGUCUGCCGGGGAUCAACCUUGCUUCUCGCUGGGUGUAUUUCCUGGUCGACGGGUCAGCAUCAGUUUCGGUCGCCGUACAAGGGCGAGGGGAACGUGGCACUCUCCGGAGUGUGUUAUAGCCUUUCGUCGUAUGCGGUGGUCGG